rnacentral:lncRNA from 12 species
CGGGACUAAUUGUUUCUGGCCCUAGAGCAUUUCCUGUGGCUCCUCACUUCCUCUCCACUUGCCACUUGCCCCUGAUUCUUCUCCAGGGCUCAGGACAUGAAGCGAAGAAGGCAGAGAGAAGCAACAGCAAAGUGAUCCAGAUAAUCUGGACUGUAAAAUCCUCUGUCACAGAGAACAAGUGUAACUUCUUCCGAUGUCAACUGGAAUUAAUUGAGUGUUUUCUGUGUGCAUGUGAGGAGAAAAGCCAUAUGAUACCACCAACAUUAUCCAGGCCACCACCGACACAACAGCGCCGGCAACCCAGACACAACUCUUCCUUGCCCUCCUGCAGCUUAUCUGACAUUUUGCACACGAGGUUUGGAAAACUGAACUAGCAAAUUUAACAUACGAUCCCACUUCAGGACUUCCCUUGAUCCUGAAGGACGGUUAGCUAUUAUUGUCUUCGGCGGGGUCCUGGUGCGUCACAUUUUUGAGCCAUUCUGGUCUGUAGAGUCAGCUAGGCUUGUACCGGGCAACACUGGGUGUUGUGUCUUUCUUAUUCCUUGUCCUUGUAGAUUCUAUGGCUUUUGGAUCAGCAGCCUAUUGGAUACAACAGUUAGCACAGCCUCUGAAAUAUGUGGCUAAAUAGACAGCAAGCUCUGCAACAGGGCAACUGCACUCCUACUGCCAAGUCAGAAUGAUUUCUCAAGCAAGGCAUACGACAAGGAUCUUGAAAAGGAAGAUGCCUGCUGUCAUUUUCAUUAGGUAGACAGGACCAGUGAAAACCUGUGCUUUGACUCUAUUAAAGUAGACUUCUUUGAGGCCUCGUUAACAGGACAGCGUCUCCGACGUCUUACUCAUCAUGCCAGCUUGGAUUGAUACCUAUUCAGCCAUGAGUGAUAUGAACCAAGUGCUAUAAAAGUGCAGUGACUGCAUACAGAAUUGUAUGGCCUGUCAGGGUGUGUGUGUGAGUGUGACAAUUCCCCUCUGAGGACAAGUAAAAUACUGUAUAUAGCUUAUCUAUUAAGCUCAAUGCCUAUUACAUUUAAGACCUAAGAACACACUCAUCAAAUGCUCAGUUCAUCUACAAAGCUUGUCCUGUCCUGUUUCCAGAUAUGGGGUUUGGCCCUUAUGUGUAAUAACACACUGAGUGAUAAUAUUUAAGCUGUUUCUCUGAUUCAAACCAAUGGUCCGUCUUGCCUGCUUCUCUCAUUUGUAAAAGAAGAUAUUUAGAGAGUAUAAAGGUAUAAAGGCAGUCUUUUACUUUUGAUUCAGAGAAAAUCACAUCUUUAAAAAUAAAGAUGUUCCAGGAGAGUUAGUUACCCUGCCU